rnacentral:rRNA from 1 species
CCUACGGGUGACAGCAGUCGAGAAUCAUUCACAAUGGGGGAAACCCUGAUGGUGCGACGCCGCGUGGGGGAAUGAAGGUCUUCGGAUUGUAAACCCCUGUCAUGUGGGAGCAAAUUAAAAAGAUAGUACCACAAGAGGAAGAGACGGCUAACUCUGUGCCAGCAGACGCGGUAAUACAGAGGUCUCAAGCGUUGUUCGGAAUCACUGGGCGUAAGGCGUGCGUAGGCUGUUUCGUAAGUCGUGUGUGAAAGGCGCGGGCUCAACCCGCGGACGGCACAUGAGACUGCGAGACUAGAGUAAUGGAGGGGGAACCGGAAUUCUCGGUGUAGCAGUGAAAUGCGUAGAUAUCGAGAGGAACACUCGUGGCGAAGGCGGGUUCCUGGACAUUAACUGACGCUGAGGCACGAAGGCCAGGGGAGCGAAAGGGAUUAGAUACCCGGGUAGUC